GGUGAGGUGGCCGAGAGGCUGAAGGCGGCGGUUUGCUAAACCGUUAUAGGGCCUUUAAAGCUCUAUCCAGGGUUCGAAUCCCUGCCUCACCGCCA
rnacentral:tRNA from 1 species